AUAGAACGCUGGCGGCAUGCCUUACACAUGCAAGUCGAACGGCAGCACGGGGCAACCUGGUGGCGAGUGGCGAACGGGUGAGUAAUGCAUCGGAACGUACCUUUCAGUGGGGGAUAACGUAGCGAAAGUUACGCUAAUACCGCAUAUUCUGUGAGCAGGAAAGCAGGGGAUCGCAAGACCUUGCGCUGAUUGAGCGGCCGGUGUCAGAUUAGCUAGUUGGUGAGGUAAAGGCUUACCAAGGCGACGAUCUGUAGCGGGUCUGAGAGGAUGAUCGGCCCAACGGGAACUUAGACGUGGUCCAGACUCCUACGGGGGGCAGCAGUGGGGAAUGUUAGACAAUGGGGGCAACCCGGAUCCAGCCAUGCCGCGUGAGUGAAGAAGGCCUUCGGGUUGUAAAGCGCUUUCGGCCGGGAAGAAAUCGCACGGGCUAAUACCCUGUGUGGAUGACGGUACCGGCAUAAGAAGCACCGGCUAACUACGUGCCAGCCGCCGCCGUAAAAC
rnacentral:rRNA from 1 species